GCAGGCUCAGAGGUGCAUUGGAGGGUGGUUAUGAGUUAUUGAGGAGAGAGAUCAGAGGCUCGAGUGAGCAUGCAUCUACUCAGUUCACUGCUCUACUUCAGUCUAUUUCGAGAGCACUGAACGUUCUUGAUUCCAUCAGACUCACUCUUUCAGUCCAGUCCUUGGCCUCUCAACGUUCUCAGCCUCCUAGUUCAUCUCGCUCACCUACUCGUGCCAGAGGCAGACGGGGUAGAGGACGUUCUUCUGGUCG
rnacentral:lncRNA from 1 species